rnacentral:rRNA from 1 species
GACGAACGCUGGCGGCGUGCUUAACACAUGCAAGUCGAACGGAAAGGCCCUGCUUUUGUGGGGUGCUCGAGUGGCGAACGGGUGAGUAACACGUGAGUAACCUGCCCUUGACUUUGGGAUAACUUCAGGAAACUGGGGCUAAUACCGGAUAGGAGCUCCUGCUGCAUGGUGGGGGUUGGAAAGUUUCGGCGGUUGGGGAUGGACUCGCGGCUUAUCAGCUUGUUGGUGGGGUAGUGGCUUACCAAGGCUUUGGCGGGUAGCCGGCCUGAGAGGGUGACCGGCCCCAUUGGGACUGAGAUACGGCCCAGACUCCUACGGGAGGCAGCAGUGGGGAAUAUUGCCCAAUGGGCGGAAGCCUGAUGCAGCAACGCCGCGUGCGGGAUGACGGCCUUCGGGUUGUAAACCGCUUUCGCCUGUGACGAAGCGUUAGUGACGGUAAUGGGUAAAGAAGCACCGGCUAACUACGUG